CCUACGGGAGGCAGCAGUGAGGAAUAUUGGUCAAUGGGCGCGAGACUGAACCAGCCAAGCAGCGUGAAGGAGGAAAGCACAACGGGUUGUAAACCUAUUUUAUAAAGGAAUAAAGUGAGGCACGUGUGCCUUUUUGUAUGUACCUUAUGAAUAAGGAUCGGCUAACUCCGUGCCAGCAGCCGCUGUAAUACGGAGGAGCCGAGCGUUAUCCGGAUUUGUUGGGUUUAAAGGGAGCGUAGGUGGGUUUUUAGGGCAGUUGUGAAAGUUUGCGGCUCAACCGUAAAAUUGCCGUUGAUACUGGCAGUCUUGAGUAGAGGUGAGGUAUGCGGCUUUCGUGGUGUAGCGGUGACAUGCUUAGAUAUCACGAAGAACUCCGAUUGCGAAGGCAGCUUACUAGACUGCCACUGACGUUGAUGCACGAAAGUGUGGGUAUCAAACAGGAUUAGAUACCCUAGUAGUC
rnacentral:rRNA from 1 species